rnacentral:rRNA from 1 species
GAUGAACGCUGGCGGCGUGCCUAAUACAUGCAAGUCGAGCGAACAGACGAGAGUGCUUGCACUCUCUGACGUUAGCGGCGGACGGGUGAGUAACACGUGGGUAACCUACCUAUAAGACUGGGAUAACUUCGGGAAACCGGAGCUAAUACCGGAUAAUAUUUAGCUUCGCAUGAAGCAAUAGUGAAAGACGGUUCUGCUGUCACUUAUAGAUGGACCCGCGGUGUAUUAGCUAGUUGGUGAGGUAACGGCUCACCAAGGCAACGAUACAUAGCCGACCUGAGAGGGUGAUCGGCCACCCUGGGACUGAGACACGGCCCAGACUCCUACGGGAGGCAGCAGUAGGGAAUCUUCCGCAAUGGACGAAAGUCUGACGGAGCAAUGCCGCGUGAGUGAAGAAGGUUUUCGGAUCGUAAAACUCUGUUGUAAGGGAAGAACAAGUACGUUAGUAACUGAACGUACCUUGACGGUACCUUACCAGAAAGCCACGGCUAACUACGUG